rnacentral:lncRNA from 1 species
CUCACACAACGGCCUCAAGAAGGGAGGCAGCGGGGGAGUCACGGAAGGAGGGCUCAGUCAAAGAAAGGACACAUCUGAGCAGAGGGAUGGCCUCGCAGCCCAGUUCCAGGAUGGCUGAGGGCUCCAUACUCCAGGGCUGGAGCUGGGGAAAGCACACACACCACUUUACACACACACCACCCUCCACCACUCUCCACACACCACCCUCCACACACACCACGCUCCACACACACCGCCCUCCACACACACCACCCUCCACACACACCACCCUCCACACACACCACCCUCCACACACCACCCUCCACACACACCACCCUCCCACACACCGCCCUCCACACACACCAUGCUCCACACACACCGCCCUCCACACACACCGCCCUCCACACACACCAUCC